UACGGAGGUGGCAAGCGUUGUUCGGAAUUACUGGGCGUAAAGGGCGCGUAGGCGGCUAGGCAAGUCAGGUGUGAAAUUCCUGGGCUUAACCUGGGGACUGCGCUUGAUACGGCCAGGCUUGAGGAUGGAAGAGGGUCGCGGAAUUCCCAGUGUAGAGGUGAAAUUCGUAGAUAUUGGGAAGAACACCGGUGGCGAAGGCGGCGACCUGGUCCAUUACUGACGCUGAGGCGCGACAGCGUGGGGAGCAAACAGG
rnacentral:rRNA from 1 species